UCUUAAUUCUUUUACCAUUUUUUAGGUAACCAAACUUAGUAGAAAGUAAAGUUUCCUUUGGCUAAAAUAACCAAAAUUUAUCUAUCUAGUUAGAUUUUUCCAUUAUAAUGAAAUAAUGUACACCCUUAUUUUAGAGGAUAUUGAAUAUAUUUUGAAGAAUUAUUUAAUACAAAUAGCAACUCCAAAUUCCCUAAGCCAUCUCAAAAUUUAGAAAUAAGUGAGGUUGAGAAUCCUUAUGCUUAGAAUGCGUAACAAACCACCAAUCAAGAGAUUUAUCGAGCUAUCUUUCUUAUAUCAAAUCAUUAGUAAUAAGCUUCUGGAGAACUUUGGACCAAACCAAAGCCCUUACUCUAAUUGGUACUUUAGCUGUUCGAAUUCUAAUUGUAUUGUUGAAAAGAGUGAGACAAAUAAAAUGGAAUAGUAAGACUUAUAAGAAAGUUUUCCAAAAGAAUCAAGAAACAAAUUCCUUAUACCUACCUUAGGAAGGAAAUGAUCAAAAGUUGAUAAAAUAAGCAAUGAAGAUAAUUCAAUGUUCUCCAUGUCAUUGAUAUUGUUAUAGAAAAUUAGAAAUAACAAAACAUUUCUAGAAGAAGGUAUUAUUAUGAUUCAUAAAAAAAUAGAAUAAAGGUCAAUUUGCCUUGAACUUUUAAGCAAAAUCCAAUUAGAACCAAGUUGAAGUUUUCAACCAAAUAAGUCUACAACUUUUGAUUUAUGAUCAUUUUGACACAAUUUUUGGCCAAAA
rnacentral:misc_RNA from 1 species